CAGACUGGUGCAGCCCAGACGAAAAGUAUACAUGAAAUAGACACAAGAUGUAGUUCUAAGUAUUUAUUAAUGGAAUUGAUCUACGGUUGAAACAAACUGUGAGUGAAAAGGGGGAGCCUUUUGACCCCAGGUGUGCAAUGAUCGGAAGCACACCACACAUCCACACGUUUGGUUUUGGUCCCAUGUACCCAGCACACGCACAUAUAUAAGAAAAAGGGGGUUUUCAUUAUGGAUAACAGAACCAAGAUCUAAACCCACCUAACUGCCGAUCCUGAAUAUGUGCUGAGAUACGUGAAGGCCAUCUCCACCACCGGCCACCGCAGAGUUGUGCCUGCGGCAACCCUGUUGCCGUCAUCGUCACCAUGGUGCUUCUUCCCCAACAUCUCCUCGCUACUAGAGACGCAAAGGUGCGGCCGUGGGCUACACAGGGUCUGCAUUGACGCAGGAGAUAUCGCGAAGUACCUGUAAAUUUGUAUGCUUCCGCAUAAAGUUGUUGAUCUAGUCUAAGAUUAGGAACUUACAUUGAUUAGCCUAAAGGCUAAUUUGUCUAACAUUGAUAUCUCGAGCCUACCUAAUCUGGCUAGAACACUAAUCAGGCCUUCCAAUGGCAAAUUAAAGAAGUGAGAAGGAGGGGAAAUCGCGUCAAAUCAAAGAAAUCUGAAUGGCAAAUUACCCCUAAUCCCCAAAUCCCAGCCCAGAUAUAUAUCUUUUAAAGGAAGAGGGACUGGGACUUGUGUUGUUGAUGCCGGCCAUCGUGCGUACUCACCAUGCAUUGGCCAGAACGACUGCGUCCUUCGGGACGACAGCCGGGAUUAUGCGCG
rnacentral:lncRNA from 1 species